rnacentral:rRNA from 1 species
UACGUAGGUGGCAAGCGUUGUCCGGAUUUAUUGGGUUUAAAGGGUGCGUAGGCGGCCCUGUAAGUCAGUGCUGAAAUAUCCCAGCUUAACUGGGAGGGUGGCAUUGAUACUGCGGGGCUAGAGUACAGAUGAGGUAGGCGGAAUUGACGGUGUAGCGGUGAAAUGCUUAGAUAUCGUCAAGAACACCUAUAGCGAAGGCAGCCUACUAGGCUGUAACUGACGCUGAGGCACGAAAGUGUGGGGAUCAAACAGG